AACUAUUUAUUGUAUAAAAGGAGAGGAUGGGAUUUAUAAAUUAUAAAGUCAGAAAACCAUAUUACAUUUCUAACAGGGAAAAAACAUGGUUCAAAUUGUCAAGUAUUUUUAUGUUAUACUUAUAUUUCUCUCCCUAUUUGUUGUUGCAAUGAAUGGUGAUUACCUAUUUGAAUGUACUAGUGAUCAUGAUUGUGAAGAUGUAGGGUACUGCCCGGAUACUUUUGUAGCAAAGUGUUUUGUUAGUUUUGCUUUAUCCCAGUUCCUCUCAAAAGGAAAAUGUUUAUGUGUUUGAGUGAUGAACCCAAUUGAUUCUAUUAUAAAAUUUCAUAAGCUAUCAUUUAUUUACUGUAUUGGUGUUGAAUUUGAUUGAACUUAUUAUUGGAAUAUGAAUAUCUUUUUCUUUUUUUG